AAGAGGACCCUUUUUCAAAGUAUAUAUAUCCACCUGAGAAUCUCAGAUACAAAGUCGACACACCGGUUUUUUGGCUUUAUCUUUUUAAAAUUAGGUAUAUAUAGAAAAACGAAAGAGUGCAUGAGGUUACGGAUUGUUUCAUUUAAAUGUUCUGAUCUUAUCUCCGGGAUUUCUGCAGAAGAUAUUUAGUUAUCGAUGAUUUUCUAUCGCCGAGGCUACAAAAAUCGGCAAUCUGAACAAUAUAUAUACUUUGUGACGUCAGUCACUCAUUUCGGAGAGAAAAUGAUGGCGGACAGUGUUCGCUUCGAAUGAAAUUAUCUGCAUUUCUUUGGUUUUGUGGAGCAUUUAGGAUUAUUUAAACACAACAAUAUAAUGGAUGUACAGGCCAUCGUGGCAGUUCCCUUCCUUGAAGACUCUGUGGUGAUUGAUUGAAGUAUAUGAUCAGUCUUGACAAUCAAAACCAUGCUGAUCUUGUACUACUUUAUGUUGCUACUUUUAAUCAUCAUCAUAUCCACAAGAACGUUUUUUGUGAAACUGUUAUUUUUAAAAAAAAAAAAUAAUAAUAAUAAAAAUCUGAUGAUCAAUUUUAA